GACGAACGCUGGCGGCGUGCUUAACACAUGCAAGUCGAACGGAAAGGCCCUGCUUUUGUGGGGUGCUCGAGUGGCGAACGGGUGAGUAACACGUGAGUAACCUGCCCUUGACUUUGGGAUAACUUCAGGAAACUGGGGCUAAUACCGGAUCGGAGCUCCUGCUGCAUGGUGGGGGUUGGAAAGUUUCGGCGGUUGGGGAUGGACUCGCGGCUUAUCAGCUUGUUGGUGGGGUAGUGGCGUACCAAGGCUUUGACGGGUAGGCGGCCUUGGAGGGUGACCGGCCACAUUGGGACUGAGAUACGGCCCAGACGCCUACGGGAGGCAGCAGUGGGGAAUAUGGCACAAUGGGCGGAAGCCUGAUGCAGCAACGCCGCGUGCGGGAUGACGGCCUUCGGGUUGUAAACCGCUUUCGCCUGUGACGAAGCGUGAGUGACGGUAAUGGGUAAAGAAGCACCGGCUAACUACGUG
rnacentral:rRNA from 1 species